AUUGAACGCUGGCGGCAUGCCUUACACAUGCCAGUCGAACGGUAACAGGUCUUCGGAUGCUGACGAGUGUCGAACGGGGGCGUAAUACAUCGGAACGUGCCCGAUCGUGGGGGAUAACGGAGCGAAAGCUUUACUAAUACCUCAUACGGUCUACGGAUGAAAGCAGGAGACCGCAAGACCUUUCGCGGACCGUGCGGCCGAUGGCAGAUUAGGUAGUUGGUGGGUUAACAGCUUACCAAGGCGACGAUUUGUAGCUGGUCUGAGAGGAUGACCCGCCACACUGGGACUGAGACACGGCCCAGACUCCUACGGGAGGCAGCAGUGGGGAAUUUUGCACAAUGGGCGAAAGCCUGACCCAGCAAUGCCGCGUGAAGGAUGAAGGCCUUCGGGUUGUAAACUGCUUUUGUACGGAACGAAAAGACUCUUUCUAAUAAAGAGGGUCCAUGACGGUACCGUAAGAAUAAGCACCGGCUAACUACGUG
rnacentral:rRNA from 1 species